rnacentral:rRNA from 1 species
CGUGUAGGCGGACUCGCAAGUAAGUUGUGAAAUCCCUGGGCUCAACCUAGGAACUGCAUCCGAAACUGCUUGUCUUGAGUAAUGGAGAGGGUGGCGGAAUUCCCGGUGUAGAGGUGAAAUUCGUAGAUAUCGGGAGGAACAUCAGUGGCGAAGGCGGCCACCUGGACAUUUACUGACGCUGAGACGCGAAAGCGUGGGGAGCAAACAGGAUUAGAUACCCUGGUAGUCC